rnacentral:rRNA from 1 species
UACGUAGGGGGCUAGCGUUGUCCGGAAUCAUUGGGCGUAAAGCGCGUGUAGGCGGUUAGGUAGGUCCGUUGUGAAAACUCGAGGCUCAACCUCGAGACGCCGAUGGAAACCAUCUGACUAGAGUCCGGAAGAGGAGAGUGGAAUUCCUGGUGUAGCGGUGAAAUGCGCAGAUAUCAGGAAGAACACCCGUGGCUAAGGCGGCUCUCUAGUACGGUACUGACGCUGAGACGCGAAAGCGUGGGGAGCGAACAGG